rnacentral:rRNA from 1 species
UACGGAGGAUGCAAGCGUUAUCCGGAAUGAUUGGGCGUAAAGCGUCCGCAGGUGGCUAUGUAAGUCUGCUGUUAAAGAGUGAGGCUCAACCUCAUAAGAGCAGUGGAAACUACAUGGCUAGAGUGCGUUCGGGGCAGAGGGAAUUCCUGGUGUAGCGGUGAAAUGCGUAGAUAUCGGGAGGAACAUCAGUGGCGAAGGCGGCUAUCUGGUCUAACACUGACACUGAGACACGAAAGCGUGGGGAGCAAACAGG